UCAGAAGUGCGAAUGCUGACAUAAGUAACGAUAAAGCGGGUGAAAAGCCCGCUCGCCGGAAGACCAAGGGUUCCUGUCCAACGUUAAUCGGGGCAGGGUGAGUCGACCCCUAAGGCGAGGCCGAAAGGCGUAGUCGAUGGGAAACAGGUUAAUAUUCCUGUACUUGGUGUUACUGCGAAGGGGGGACGGAGAAGGCUAUGUUGGCCGGGCGACGGUUGUCCCGGUUUAAGCGUGUAGGCUGGUUUUCCAGGC
rnacentral:rRNA from 1 species